GGGUUGUGAGGUUAAGCGACUAAGCGUACACGGUGGAUGCCCUGGCAGUCAGAGGCGAUGAAGGACGUGCUAAUCUGCGAUAAGCGUCGGUAAGGUGAUAUGAACCGUUAUAACCGGCGAUUUCCGAAUGGGGAAACCCAGUGUGAUUCGUCACACUAUCAUUAACUGAAUCCAUAGGUUAAUGAGGCGAACCGGGGGAACUGAAACAUCUAAGUACCCCGAGGAAAAGAAAUCAACCGAGAUUCCCCCAGUAGCGGCGAGCGAACGGGGAGCAGCCCAGAGCCUGAAUCAGUGUGUGUGUUAGUGGAAGCGUCUGGAAAGGCGCGCGAUACAGGGUGACAGCCCCGUACACAAAAAUGCACAUGCUGUGAGCUCGAUGAGUAGGGCGGGACACGUGGUAUCCUGUCUGAAUAUGGGGGGACCAUCCUCCAAGGCUAAAUACUCCUGACUGACCGAUAGUGAACCAGUACCGUGAGGGAAAGGCGAAAAGAACCCCGGCGAGGGGAGUGAAAAAGAACCUGAAACCGUGUACGUACAAGCAGUGGGAGCACGCUUAGGCGUGUGACUGCGUACCUUUUGUAUAAUGGGUCAGCGACUUAUAUUCUGUAGCAAGGUUAACCGAAUAGGGGAGCCGAAGGGAAACCGAGUCUUAACUGGGCGUUAAGUUGCAGGGUAUAGACCCGAAACCCGGUGAUCUAGCCAUGGGCAGGUUGAAGGUUGGGUAACACUAACUGGAGGACCGAACCGACUAAUGUUGAAAAAUUAGCGGAUGACUUGUGGCUGGGGGUGAAAGGCCAAUCAAACCGGGAGAUAGCUGGUUCUCCCCGAAAGCUAUUUAGGUAGCGCCUCGUGAAUUCAUCUCCGGGGGUAGAGCACUGUUUCGGCAAGGGGGUCAUCCCGACUUACCAACCCGAUGCAAACUGCGAAUACCGGAGAAUGUUAUCACGGGAGACACACGGCGGGUGCUAACGUCCGUCGUGAAGAGGGAAACAACCCAGACCGCCAGCUAAGGUCCCAAAGUCAUGGUUAAGUGGGAAACGAUGUGGGAAGGCCCAGACAGCCAGGAUGUUGGCUUAGAAGCAGCCAUCAUUUAAAGAAAGCGUAAUAGCUCACUGGUCGAGUCGGCCUGCGCGGAAGAUGUAACGGGGCUAAACCAUGCACCGAAGCUGCGGCAGCGACGCUUAUGCGUUGUUGGGUAGGGGAGCGUUCUGUAAGCCUGUGAAGGUGUACUGUGAGGUAUGCUGGAGGUAUCAGAAGUGCGAAUGCUGACAUAAGUAACGAUAAAGCGGGUGAAAAGCCCGCUCGCCGGAAGACCAAGGGUUCCUGUCCAACGUUAAUCGGGGCAGGGUGAGUCGACCCCUAAGGCGAGGCCGAAAGGCGUAGUCGAUGGGAAACAGGUUAAUAUUCCUGUACUUGGUGUUACUGCGAAGGGGGGACGGAGAAGGCUAUGUUGGCCGGGCGACGGUUGUCCCGGUUUAAGCGUGUAGGCUGGUUUUCCAGGCAAAUCCGGAAAAUCAAGGCUGAGGCGUGAUGACGAGGCACUACGGUGCUGAAGCAACAAAUGCCCUGCUUCCAGGAAAAGCCUCUAAGCAUCAGGUAACAUCAAAUCGUACCCCAAACCGACACAGGUGGUCAGGUAGAGAAUACCAAGGCGCUUGAGAGAACUCGGGUGAAGGAACUAGGCAAAAUGGUGCCGUAACUUCGGGAGAAGGCACGCUGAUAUGUAGGUGAAGCGACUUGCUCGUGGAGCUGAAAUCAGUCGAAGAUACCAGCUGGCUGCAACUGUUUAUUAAAAACACAGCACUGUGCAAACACGAAAGUGGACGUAUACGGUGUGACGCCUGCCCGGUGCCGGAAGGUUAAUUGAUGGGGUCAGCGCAAGCGAAGCUCUUGAUCGAAGCCCCGGUAAACGGCGGCCGUAACUAUAACGGUCCUAAGGUAGCGAAAUUCCUUGUCGGGUAAGUUCCGACCUGCACGAAUGGCGUAAUGAUGGCCAGGCUGUCUCCACCCGAGACUCAGUGAAAUUGAACUCGCUGUGAAGAUGCAGUGUACCCGCGGCAAGACGGAAAGACCCCGUGAACCUUUACUAUAGCUUGACACUGAACAUUGAGCCUUGAUGUGUAGGAUAGGUGGGAGGCUUUGAAGUGUGGACGCCAGUCUGCAUGGAGCCGACCUUGAAAUACCACCCUUUAAUGUUUGAUGUUCUAACGUGGACCCGUGAUCCGGGUUGCGGACAGUGUCUGGUGGGUAGUUUGACUGGGGCGGUCUCCUCCUAAAGAGUAACGGAGGAGCACGAAGGUUGGCUAAUCCUGGUCGGACAUCAGGAGGUUAGUGCAAUGGCAUAAGCCAGCUUGACUGCGAGCGUGACGGCGCGAGCAGGUGCGAAAGCAGGUCAUAGUGAUCCGGUGGUUCUGAAUGGAAGGGCCAUCGCUCAACGGAUAAAAGGUACUCCGGGGAUAACAGGCUGAUACCGCCCAAGAGUUCAUAUCGACGGCGGUGUUUGGCACCUCGAUGUCGGCUCAUCACAUCCUGGGGCUGAAGUAGGUCCCAAGGGUAUGGCUGUUCGCCAUUUAAAGUGGUACGCGAGCUGGGUUUAGAACGUCGUGAGACAGUUCGGUCCCUAUCUGCCGUGGGCGCUGGAGAACUGAGGGGGGCUGCUCCUAGUACGAGAGGACCGGAGUGGACGCAUCACUGGUGUUCGGGUUGUCAUGCCAAUGGCACUGCCCGGUAGCUAAAUGCGGAAGAGAUAAGUGCUGAAAGCAUCUAAGCACGAAACUUGCCCCGAGAUGAGUUCUCCCUGACUCCUUGAGAGUCCUGAAGGAACGUUGAAGACGACGACGUUGAUAGGCCGGGUGUGUAAGCGCAGCGAUGCGUUGAGCUAACCGGUACUAAUGAACCGUGAGGCUUAACCUUACAACGCCGAAGCUGUU
rnacentral:rRNA from 1 species